UUCGGUUGAUCCUGCCGGAGGCUACCGCUAUUGGAGUUCGAUUAAGCCAUGCGAGUCGCGAGUCUUAGGGACUCGGCGUACCGCUCAGUAACACGUGGGUAACCUGCCCUAUGCUGGGGGAUAACCUCGGGAAACUGAGAAUAAUACCCCAUAGUUCACCACGCCUGGAACGGUGGGUGGAUGAAAGCUCCGGCGGCAUAGGAUGGGCCUGCGGCGUAUCAGGUUGUAGGGGGUGUAAUGUACCCUCUAGCCAUCUACGCGUACGGGUGUUGGGAGACAUCGCCCGGAGAUGGAUUCUGAGACACGAAUCCAGACCCUACGGGGUGCAGCAGGCGCGAAAACUUGGCAAUGCGAGCAAUCGUGACCAGGGAACUCCAAGUGCAUCGGGUAAGACCGAUGCUUUUCUUGACUCUUCAAAGGUCUUGGAAUAAGGGGUGGGUAAGGACGGUGCCAGCCGCCGCGGUAAUACCGGCGCCUCAAGUGGUAGUCGCUUUUAUUGGGCCUAAAACGUCCGUAGCCGGUUUGGUACAUUCGUGGGUAAAUCAAGGCGCUCAACGUCUUGAAUUCUGCGAGCACGGCCAGACUUGGGACCGGGUGAGGUGUGGGGUACUCUCAGGGUAGGGGUAAAAUCCUGUCAUCCUGAGAGGACCACCUGUUGCGAAGGCGCCACACUAGAACGGAUCCGACGGUCAGGGACGAAGCCUAGGGGCACGAACCGGAUUAGAUACCCGGGUAGUCCUAGGUGUAAACGCUGUGGACUUGAUGUUGGGAGUGCUCCGAGCACCCUCAGUGUCGAAGCGAAGGUGAUAAGUCCACUGCCUGGGGAGUACGGUCGCAAGGCUGAAACUUAAAGGAAUUGGCGGGGGAGCACUGCAACCUGAGGAUUGUGCGGUUCAAUUGGAUUCAACGCCGGA
rnacentral:rRNA from 1 species